rnacentral:rRNA from 1 species
AAUCAACGCUGGCGGCGUGCCUAACACAUGCAAGUCGAACGCGAAAGCCCCUUCGGGGGUAAGUAGAGUGGCGUCCGGGUGAGUAACACGUAGGUAAUCUACCUUCGGGUGGGGAAUAACCAGUCGAAAGAUUGGCUAAUACCGCAUAAUGCAGCGGCACCUAAUGGUGAUUAGUUGUUAAAGCGGGGGAUCGUAAGACCUCGCGCCUGAAGAGGAGCCUGCGGCAGAUUAGCUAGUUGGGAGGUAAGAGCUCACCAA